GGAGCCGUAGCGCAGCGGUAGACGCGCCCUCUUGCCAAGAGGGAGGACGCCGGUUCGAAUCCGGCCACUCCCCCA
rnacentral:tRNA from 1 species